UUAUUUAUUAAAGAGCAUUUACAACACUGUAUAUUUUAUUUACUCCAAAUAUCACAUCUUAGAUAUAGAAUUCCAAUGAAUGAAAAUGAACAGUACAAGAAUACAUGAAGUAAAUACUGCAACAUUUAAGACUGGCCUCACUUAAGCAACAGGAAAUGCCAAAUACUUAUUACAUCUUUAACCACUGACUUGAUCUUAAAAAAUAAAAGGCCAGGAUAAUCUACAUUAAUGAAUGUGAUAACACAUUGCCUAUCUCUAAACAGAUAAAAGCAUAAUUUUUAAGUUUAUCUACUUUGACUUAAUAGUUCAAACCUGCUCUUCUAAUUAAGAAAAAAAUACACGUUAAAUUUUUAACUGGUAAAAUCAUUUCACAGCUAUAAAAGAUGCUAAUGACACCAUCCUCUACUAGCAAAGAACAAUAUACAAAUAGAGCUUUCUGACCUAUUAACAAUUUUUUUCUACAGUUCAGUGGAAAACUGUGUGUAUGGGUUGGGGGGAUAGAGGGUGAGUAGUAUGAGAGGUAAGAUAAGCCAGUCACUGAUCAAACUGUUAGCUUACAAAACUUGACCAAACCAUUCAAGCUAAAAGACAAAUAAAUGACAAAGGUCCCAAUGCAAUGUUUCAAAUGAUCUCAAGAGUAAAAGGUUAGAGAUAAUCCAUGUUGCAAAUGCUGUUUUUGUCCUCAAGAGCCACACAGACCAACUCAGCUUUAUGACUUGGGCAGACUCCCUCAACGGAUUCUGUUGUUACCUGGGCUCACGCUCUUUCCCUGGGGACUGUCUUACGCUGAGAGGCCUCCCUGCUCUGCAGAGCUACCCCUCUGCCUGCCGCACAACUACAACAGUGGUUCUGCUGCUGAGCUCUGCACAUACGAAGGCCUGUGCCCAUGGGCCCAGGCCCCACUUCUGUAGAGAAAUGCCUACUCGUCGGAGAAUACAUCUACCUCUCUUUUACAGGGGCUGUAGUCAGAAAUGCUAGUAGAGCUUCUUUAAUCAUUUUUUAAAAGAUUUUGUGACGUUUCAGCAAUAUGGGGGCCUCCCUGAUUGUGAAGAAACUGCUCUUCCUGGUCUGGCCAAUUCUUAGAGACAACAAAAGACCCACCACUGAGCACACCCUUCCUAUGAAAACCAGCCAAUCCACAGCCCACACUCUCAGCUGCUUUCUCUAUCUGGCUCUUAUGCUCUGGAAGGCAAUAUUCCUCUGCCCUAAUCACCCAGAGUCAGCACCACACAAAUAGAGGUCAAUCUGGCUUAUAGCCCAGAGCCCUCUGACAUUAUCCAAGCUAGCCAAUCCUAAGAUGUUCCUCUGCCCUGCCUGGCCUUUCCUGCAAAAACACUCCAUUCUUUCCCAGCCCUCCUGCUUCUUCCUCCUCAGUGGCUCUGGUGUGUUUCCCUGUGGCUUUUGGCAUGGCAUUAGCUUUUCCAUGUUGUCACUCGGUUGCCUCCAUAAAUAAAAUCCUCUGGGUAUAUUUUAACACAACUGAUGCAGCAAGAAGGCUGACAAUUUUGUCAGAGGGGCAAGCCUCUUCACUGCUCCUGACUUGCUAAAUAGAUUCACUAAGUAGCCUGCACUGCCUAUGAAAGCACAGCCAGCUGUUGGCAUGCUUGUACUCUGGCAGCUACACUUAUGCUGCACCUGCCAUAUGGUGACAUGGUGUUCCAGCCUAACUUGUAGGAAGACCUCAAAGGCGUGUGUGUCUAUGGUCCUCAUUUACUCUUAAGCGCUGUAGCCUAGGCUGAUGGGAAUCCAAAUUCCCUACCGGGAUAAAUAACUGGACUCAUGGCUCCCACAUGAUUCUUACCCUGAUAUGCCUAAUUUCUGGACUAAUGACCCUCAUGGACUAGGAUAACUGGAAAACACACAAGGCACACAUGGACUUGCUGUAGCUGUGACACUUAUGUCUGAGCUACUGGCAUUUGCAGAGCUCCCAUAGACAAGAGGCUUUUCCCGACCAGGACCGAGAGUGGCUUCCUCUAACAGACUGUUGAGAUGUAAGCCUGACUGACUAAGCCAGCAAUGUCAAAGCCAGUCAGGCCUGCUCGACUGAGUUAGCUCUCUCCUCAUUCUGUGACCAACUUAUCCCAUCACACUGAUGCCAACUUCCUCCAGAAUAUCUUCCUUUUAGAAAGUGUCUCUGGCAGAAGUCCAAGUGUUAGUCCCUAGGACACUACAGGGAUCCAUCAGUAACAUGAUGUGAGAGCCCUCCUCAUGGAAACCACGCAUCUCAAAAGGCUUAACAUGUUGCUUCAAGGGGUGCCUGGGUGGCUCAGUUGGUUAAGGCUUUGACUCUUGGCUUUAGGUCAGGUCAUGAUCUCUGGGUCAUGAGAUCAAGCCCCGCUUUGUGCUUUGCCUGGGUCCUCUGUAGCAAAGGCUGUAAAUGUCCAUUGCUGGGGGCCCCUGCUCUCCUUUCUCUGUGGGAUACAAUCCCUCUGAGGGGAUCCCUCUUGGUACUGAGCUCCCCUGGACUGAGGGUUGGGGCUAAUGUGCCUGAGGACCCAGGACAAUGGCAGUUCUGCAUGCAACCCAUCCCUGGAGCACAGCUCCACUGAGGAUCAGUGUACUGACUUGGUGCCAGCAGGGAUACUCUCAGCUAGAACUUCCUUCCAUGGACAACAAAGGAGAACAAGAGAACCUCAGCACCUUCACCACCAAGGACUGCAGUAGCCCUAGUCAAUUAUUGCCACCAGCAAGCCCUCCAUAGUUUGGGCCACCAAAGAUCUCCACAGCCUUUACUGACACUGAGCUCAUCUAACAGGCCUGCAUGGAGACUGUGUCACUGUACUCUCCCCACAAGAAAUGCACCCUACUCAGACAGUGCCCUCACAGCCCACCUUCAGAUAAAAGUCUUUCCCCAUCAAAGCCAGUCUGAAAAGGCUGGAGGAGGUAAAUUCUCCCUCAAAUGCUCAGACAUCAAUAUAAACCCACUAGAAAAACACAAAAAAGCAAGGACACAUGACAUGACAAAAGGGAACACAAUAACUUCCAGCAACUGACCCCAAAGAAUUGGAACUCUGUGUGAGUUACCCUAAAAAGAAUCCAAAAUAAUUUCAAGGAAGCUCAGUGAAAUUUAAGAAAACACAAGUCGGUGAAUUCAGGAAAAUAAUGCGUGAAUAAAACAAAAAGUUCAGCAAAAAAAUUAGAAAUCAUAAAAAAUAACCACACAGAAAUUCUAGAAGUGAAAAAUACAAUAAAUUAGAUGAAAAAUGCAACAAAAAGUUUCAGUGAAGCUGGCUCAACAAGCUGAAGAAAGAAUCUUCAUGGGGUAGGUGAACGUAAAGACAGAGAACUGGUACUAUCUAAUCAGAGGCCAAAAAAGAAAAAGAGUGGAGAAAACCUAUGUGAAUUACUGGACAUCAGCAAGCAAAAAAAUAUUCGUAUCAAUGAAUGUCAUAGAAGGAGAAGAGAGAGAGAAAAUCAAUUAAAAAAAUAAUGGAAGAAAAUCCCCAAACUGGGGAGAGAUAUGGAUCAUCCAGGCAUAUGAAGCUCAAGGUUUCCCAUACAGAUUCAUCUUGGACAGAUCUUCACCAAGACACAGUAUAGGGAAACUCUCAAAACUCAAAGACAAAGAUGGGAUCCUGGGUGGCUCUGUCAGUUAAGCAUCUGACUCCUGAUUUUGGCUCAGGUCAUGAUCUCAGGGUUGUAAGACUGAGCCCCAUGUCACAAUCCAUGCUCAGCAGGGAGUCCCCUUAAGAUUCUCUCUCCUGGGGUGCCUGGGUGGCUCAGCUGGUUAUACCUCCAACUCAUGAUUUCAGCUCAGGUCAUGAUCUCAUGGGUCCUAAAAUGAAGCUCCAUGUGGGGCUCCACAUUCAGUGGGGAGUUUUCUUGAGAUUCUCUCUCUCUGCUCCUCCCCAACACUUGUGCAUGUGUGCAUGCUCUAAAAUAAAUAAAUCUUAACAAAAAAAAUAUUUUCUCUCCCUUUCCUCCACACCUCUUACUCUCUUUCCCUCUCUAAAACAACCAAUCAAUCAAUCAAAACGAGAAGUUUGAAAACAGCCAAAGAGAAAAAAGACAUCACAUACAAGGAAACUUCAGAAGCCUAUCAGCAGAUUUCUCUGCAGAAACCUUGCAGACCAGGAGAAAAUGGGAUGAAGAAAAAAAACUGCCAACCAAAAAUGUUUUGCCCAGCAAAGUUGUCCUUCAGAAGGAAAUAAGAAAUAAAGACUUUCCCAGAUACACAAAAGCUGAGGGAAUUCAUCACCACUAGACCUGCCUUAUAAGAAAUGCUAAAAGAAGUUCAAACUAAAACUAAAACUAAAGGAUGCUAAUUAGUAAAUUAAAGCAUAGACUAUAAAAUUCACUGGUAAAGAUAAAUAUAUAGUCAAAUUCAAAAUACUCUAAUCAAAUCGCUUUGAACUCUAGCAUCUAGGUUAAAAGACAAAAGUGUUAAAAAGAACUACAGCUACAAUAUUUUGUUAAUGGACACACAAUAUAAAAACAGGGAAACUGACAGCAACAACAUAAAAUGUAUGGGACAAGUAAAUGUGUAGAACUUUUAAUGCAAAUUAAAGUUAACUUGUUAUUAGCUUAAAUAGACUAUUAAAACUGUAAGAUAUGUUAUGAAAGACUCAUGGAAAUCAUACAGCAAAAACCUAUUAACAGAUACAUCUAUGAUAAAGAGAAAAAAAUUCAAAGCAUACCACUAUAAAAACUCACUAAUUCAGAAAGACAGACAGUAAUAGAAGAAAAAAAGGAACACAUUAACUAUAAAAUAAUAAUAAUUCACAAAAUGGUGAUAGUCACUGCCUAUUAAUAAUUACUCUAAGGUAAAUGGUUUAAAUUCUUCAAUUAAAUGACAUAAAGUGGCUAAGGAUAAAAAAAAUUAAGACUCAACUAUAUGCUGCCCACGGGGACUCAAUUAAGCUUUAAUGACAUUCGCGGGCUAAAAGUAAAGACACAGAACAGGAUAUUCCAUGCAAAUGAAAACCAAAAGAAAGCAGAGGUAGCUAUACUUAAUGUCAAAUAAAACAGACUUUUAGUCAAAAGCUAUAACAAGAGGGCACCCAGUUGGCUCAGUGGUUUAGCGCCGCCUUCGCCCAGGAUGUAAUCCUGGAGACCCAGGAUUGACUCCCGUGUUGGGCUCCCUGCAUG
rnacentral:lncRNA from 1 species